CUGGGUUCAAGCAAUUCUCCUGCCUCAGCCUCCUGAGUAGCUGGGAUUACAGGUGCCAGGCACCACACCCAGCUAACUGAAUUGAGCAGGUUCCUUAAUGUGGUCUAGGUUGAAGACAGCAUCAAGGAAACAAUGCAGGAAUUAACACUCAUCAAACAGGGACGAAAGGUCUCCAUAUGUUGCCCAGGCUGGUCUUGAACUCUACAGGUGGUACAUUCAAUACCAAGCUGAGAACACCCUCUCAAACUGAGAUGAGAAACAGACUCAAAGAGGUUAGGAAAUUCACCCAUGGUCACAGAGAUAGACAAGGAAAAAGGGAAAUAAGAAGGCCCAAGAAGAGGGAGGGAGAGAGAUGG